CAAGUUAUUAAAUUGAUUUCCCAUUCAAAUAAUUACAUUGACAGAUUAUAGAAUGAACUACAGGAUGAAGCCAUUAGCAAUGGCCUGAUUUGUUUUCAAACUAGUAGUUUCAUAAACUGGUAGCUCCUCUAUGUACCUUCCAAUCCCAAUAAGAUGAUCUAGCUCGAAAAGAUCAGAGCUUGAGCAACUCUCAUCAUCUUCAUCUUCAUCGCUAUCUUCAAUAUAACUGUGAAAACCCCUGAAAUCUAAUUCACUGACACUCUUCUUCUUAUAAUUCCUGAUGUAAUUUCCUCCUUUAGCAACAUCUUCCUUUAGUGAAGAACUCUUUGAAAUUUUUUGAGGCACAGGCAUUGGCAUCAACCCAGGAUCAUCUUCAUAGAUACAUUUAUGACCACAAGGUCUAGAAUCCUCAUCAACAAUGACACUAACAGGAUAGAAUCUAACUGACCGUUUAUUCCCAUUGCUCUGUUUCCCUCUUGAAGGAGGCGUUUUGCUCAAACAAGAACUUGAAAAGGAUGUAACUGAAGAACAUGCAGAUUUUGAUUUACGCUGGCAACUCACAUCAUCCAUGGCACCAAUGGAACACAUUUUCACUUUCUUGGCACUCCCUGAACGGAAAAUAGAAUUGAGAAAGCUGGAAAUGCGACCUCCUGGUGAAAUUGGUUGCUUUGCUUUCUUUAAUUCGCCAUAGAUUUUCUGUGCUCGUAGCUUUGUCUUGGUAAAUCCUCCUUCACACUUGGGCUUCUGUUGCUUUUCUGGAAGAGGCUUGUUUCUUUGUGGGGUUAAACUCGAUCCUCUUGUUGAAUUUUCCUUGACACUAGAUUCAGCUUCAGAGGACGAGAAGACUCCACCACUUCCACCUGCUCCAGAGCUAGAAUCUGAAGAAGUGCAAGUAGAAUUAAAAUGCAUAGAACGACGAGUGCUUUGCUUCUCCAUCCAGGUUUCAAUCAUGAUAGCUCGUCGAAGAUUAGAUAAUUCUUUAUCUUCUUCAAGAAACCCAUCACGCCGAGCCAUAGAAACAGAGUUGGUAGUGCUCUGUUUCUUUAUCACAGUAGUUUCUCUAUAUUGACUGAAAACUUUCUCUACACCACCAUUGGGUUCAUCAAUAGAACGGUAAAUGGCAUCAAGAAGAGAAGAAGAGAAAGAUGGGGUUCUCUUCCUUUGAGGAAAUGUGUUUUCCAUUUCCCUGGAAGACCUCUCCUUCCUAUACAUGCUUAUAUACAGCGAAGAAAAAGAGGCUUAUAAAGAGAAGCAGAGAAGAGAGAAGUCUGAAGAUGAAAAGACAGGGAGGUAUAGUUUAAGGAAGUGCUAAGGUAUAGUGUCCGCCAAGAGAAUGUCAAAAGCUGCAAGACACAUCAAUAGAAUGGCAAGUACAAGAAGGUCAUGUGAAGAAUGAGAGAAAAGGAAAUUUCUUUUUGUUAAAAUAAACGAGGGAAAGAAACAAGAGUACAGAAAGAAAAAUUUCCCUGUUGGGUAUUCUCUGUAGGGGAAGAUGUCGUCUGGUCUGGUCUGGUCUGGUCUGUUUGUGUACGGCUGAGCUUUGAAUAAUCAAAGAGAAAGAGAAGGCAAGAAGAAACUAGCAUAAGGAAG
rnacentral:misc_RNA from 1 species